rnacentral:rRNA from 1 species
CGUCAGCUCGUGUCGUGAGGAUGUUGGGUUAAGGUCCCGCCAACGACGCGCAACCCCUCGCUUCCAGUUACCAUCAUUAAGUUGGGGACGUCUGGAAGGAACCGCUGCGGUAACAACGCAGAGGAAGGUGGGGACGACGUCAAGUCAUCAUGGUCCUUAUGACCAGGGCUACACACGUGCUACAAUGGUAGUUACAGAGGGAAGCGAUACGGCAACGUGGAGCAAAUCUCAGAAAAGCUACCUUAGUUCGGAUUGAGGUCUGCAACUCGACCUCAUGAAGUUGGAAUCGCUAGUAAUCGCGCAACCAGCAUGGCGCGGUGAAUACGUUCCCGGGCCUU